CAGUACCAACCAAUCCUCCUCUCUCCUAUUCAUUACUCAUAAUCAUCUCUUCCCACUUGUGAACCUCUAUAUAUUUAUACCCUUAACACCUUCAAUCCUCAGAUAUUACCGCAUUCUCUAGCUCUUCCCUCUUGUCCCUCCUUUAGUCCUUUGCUCAGAUACUAUUAGCUUUUCUCUUCACAUUCUCUCAUCGUUUUCAAGUUUUUGAUUGUGGGUACAUGUAUAGAGUACCGUAGAAUAGCUUUUCUACCAAGUGGGUCUUGUUUAUUUGAUAAGCUGAGAUAUGGUUUUGAAGCGUUCUGCUGUCCUUCCUUGCAUUUGCCUUUACUUUUUCCUUCAUAGAAUGUGGUCUUGAGGUUAGGGCUAGGUUCCUUCUUCCUUUACAUCUCUUUUUACUCGUUUUCUUUCUUUAUUCCUUUACUUUUGCAUGGAUUCAUAUGAUGAAAGAAGAUCUCAAGACACCAGUCACUGUUUGCGGAUGGAGCAUCAUCAAGAUUCACAAGUAUUGAGACUCAGUGCGUGGUGGUGAUGGUGACUUUUGUGGUCCCUUCCUACACUCCGAUGGCUCUUUGAUAUGGGAAUCUUGAUGAUGCUGCAGCGGCAAUAAAUGGCUAAUUUUUAUAUAAAUCAUCUCCAAAACCACAAAACAGUUGCAGACGAUCGAGGACGGUGCCCAUCAUGACAAUAUCAGGUUCGAACAAUGAAGGCGGAACUUGUUAAUUAUUCUGCAAAAACCCUAUUCUUUAUCUUAAAAUCUCUAUAUAUUAUCCCCCCCCCCAAAAAAAAAAGGUCUCGAAACUGCCGCUUCUCUUGGAAGUGUUUCAUCUGGUUAUGCUGAUACAGGCAGUUGAGACUCAGAUAUGGUUAGGGUUUUUUGUCAGUUAACCCUAAGUUGCACCAGGUUUGAGCUAGACUGUUUGGGUCAUGAUCCAAGGGGUAGUAUGUUGUAUUUUCCAUGUGUUAACUGGAGUUUUUAUUUCAGUGAUGACGGAUGUAGUGCCUUCUCUGACCUUUCCUCAAAAGUUUUGCUGUACUAGAACCACCUGGGCACAGUAGCUUUCAGCUCAGAUACCAGCUUUUCUCACAAAUAUAUUUGAUGUGUUUGGAAUCCGUAUGAAGUCUCACAUACAAUCAUUUUUAUAACUGCCGUACAUAAUGAAAAUCAUGGAGUUUUGACUGCCUUCUGGAAACUUGAAUGUGACUCUCAACUAUACCCCAUCUGGAUGUGCCAUUUCCCAGAUUUGAUUUCCAGUUCCUUUCCAAAAUGCCAAUUUCCACUUCAACAAUUUUUGAAAGUCUACAUUAAGAGGAUCCCUCACUAACUUCUUUAUUUAGCUAUUUGGGAAGAUGUGGGAAAGUUUUGGAUUCCCUUGUUUUCACAAGGCAAUUUAUUUUCCAUCAGAUCUGCAGUUUUCAUGUAUGAAGUGUGUAGGUGUGAGGAGAAGCACUCACUCUGAUAUUGGCUCCUUGAGGGUCUUGUAAAGUUACAUUUUAAUAUCAUUUAAGCAGAUCAAUUAGACCA